GGGCCAGGACCCCUCAUGGCAUUGCCACUUCCAGCACAUUCCUUGCAAGAGUGGCUGUUUUAUUCAGAGGAAGAAAGUGUGUGAUUCUCUUCAGGUAGCCACAGGACAGCCCAGGUGCUUCCCAGAGGUCUGCUUUCAACCCUUCACCAGUUUCUGGAGCCUGCUCACGCAGAAGGCUGAGAUAUGGUUUCUUGAUGGGUUUCCUUGAGUGAGACCCUGCUUUGGUGUUGGAAACACUGGACUGCUGCCUCUCAAGUGGCCCUCGUGCCCUUCAUAUCCCUGUGCGUAGGGUGCUGCCAGCCACACUCCAACAGCAUCACUUAAAGCUUAAAUAACCCAAAGAAUGUCUUGGAUUCCUCAAAGUUAACCAGAUCAAUUUUAGAAACAUUGACAUACAGACUGUCCCUCUCCCUGAGCUUGAAUAAAGCUCCCAGGUAGCUUUUCCGGGCCCACAUUUUCUCUUUUGUACAGUAAUUGAUGCGCUUGUCCUCCAUCAGCACAUGGCUGCCUGGUGAAGCUGGGUUUCUCUUGUAGACAACAUGGGUCAAUACCUCGUUGUCACAGCGCCUUCCCCGGAACAGCACAUUGGAGUACACAAAGUACAGACCGGUCUCAUUGAUCACAAGGCCCUGAGCACGGUACUGAACGCCGCUGGUGAAGGCAUGACCAGAGAUGGGCUCCCACUCCAAUGGAAGGUUCUGCUGUGUGGGGUUCCCUGGAAGCCAGAAUGAGAGAGGAGCAGUAAGCACAAGCGUUAGCAUGUUUUCCCUUCAGUUACACCCCAGGUCACAACCAAGGCACCUGUUCUCCAUGUCCUUGACUGUAACAUAAGAAGUUUACCCCAGCCUCACGGAGGUGGGAGCUCACACCUUCCAUGUGCUCUAAUUGGUGUUGAGCUGCCAUUGAAAGCACAUCACUAACAGAAACAAAAACCAAAGGAAAAAAAUAGAGCUCUCAUUAAAAAGCUUGAAUGAGAGGAAUAUUUUAGCAGUGGGGCACCUUCAAGUUGCCAAAGCACACACAUUUCUAAAGGAAAAUGAGAAAGUCAGUGCAGCUCCUUACAACAACAGCCAGGUUGCUCUUUCAUCCCAGUAACAUCUGCCCUGUUCUCUGCUCCCAAAUCCUGCUGGUCCCUCAACACGUACCUGUUAAGUGUGCUGCCUUCCUUGCUUCCUUUUUCACUGGCUUGUUCUCCUGCCCUGCAUGAAAACAGAGGAGACUGUAGCCACAUGCUCCAUGGAGAAGUCAGUCCAUUGAGAAGAACAGAGGUAUCUGCGAGGCUAAAGAGGGGUAGAUUCCCAGCAGCAAAGGGCACAUAGGCACCAUGGCUUGCUGUGAAGAAAUAGAAAGAUGCUCAGCCAAAUGCUACAGAACAUUAGAGAGAGUUAGAAAGUAAGAGCUGAAGCAAAGGAUCGGAUGUGAUCCAAAGCAAAGGGAAAAAACAAGUGAGAAAGGAAAGUUUUCAUCUUAAAAUGUCUCCACGGGUGAACUCAAGAAGAGGAUUUUUGCUCAGGUUUUAGGAGAGGGAUAAUAGUGUGCGAAUCUCCCACUCCCAAUGAAAACAAAAUUUUCUAUGUCAUCCCAAAAACUUAAAGAGCAAAGAGAAAAAGUCCUAAAACAUGCAGCGUACAUCUUGAUUAUCCACUCUCCUCCUUCUGUGCACGCUGUUGCAGUGUCUCAGGACACUGAGGCCCUAAAGCAGAAGCAACCUGUCCCAACUGACACAACUGAGCAUUCUAGCAAGCAGGAUGCAGGACGCCCUUUUGCCACACUCUUCUUCAGACCAAGCAAGUGCAAGAAGCGCUUCCAGAGCUGCAGCCCUGCCUCUGCACCAGACAAGGGGAGGGAAGGAUUUGGCAGAAGCAUUCACACAUGCUGGCAAGGGAGAGUUUCUCUAUGUACAUCAACUCACCUAUGAGCUUCUCCAGAGCUGGAGGGAUGUGUUCAAUGCUGACAGUCUGUUAAAAGAAGAAGAGUGACAAGUUCUCUCAGCAGGGUGAGAACAUAAGGGCACCAUCUAGAUGCGACCAGGCUGUCUCAACAACGGCUAUUCUGGGUGCUUAUGCAGAGCUGCGAGUUUAAGUGUACAGGGAGGAAGAGCCUGCAGCACCCAGACAUCAGGACAUCCAGAUAUGUACCACAGGCACCAACAGAUCAGUCCUUCACAGUAACCAACAGCCCCACGCACACUGGCAUGGCACACGUCACUGCCACCAGUUUCUCCCCACGGCCUGUGUGGCCAGCAGGCAGACUUUACCUCUCUGAGUUCAGCCAGCUCCUUCUCCAGGUGGAAGAUCUGAAACAUGCUCAGCCCCACUCCAGUGAGCGCCAGCAGGAUCAGCAAGAAGAUCACCAGGAAGCUGACGCUGCUCCUUUCUCUGUUGCUCUUUGGUUUUUUCCUCCGAUCAGGUACUGGUGGUGGGAAGGGAGCGACAGGGGAUGCUGGAUGGCAGGAGGUGCUGGCAUCAGCACAGCCAUCCACCCAGAAGAUCUGUGGGUACAUAUAGUUCAAAUUCUGCUGCAGGGCUGGGAGUGGGAUGGGCUGGACACGCUUUGUGUGAUCAUCCAUGUGGCAGCCAAAAACUGCCGAGGCUGCCCCAGACUGAGCCCUGGGGGAAGACCCAGAUCUGCUUCUGUGUGCCUGCAUCAUCACUCCAGCUGCAAUCGUCCAGCUCAGAUGCUGCAACUCUAUGAAAGCCUCGAGCAGCAAACCCCAAAAAGCUUCCGCCCUCUGCUGCAAGUUCAGGGCACCCUCCUGCUCCUCCCACGCUGCAGCAGCACGCAAAUGCAGUUGGACAGAGCUGGUGGCAGGCUGCACUCACACAGCAACAGCCCCAGGAAGGAGAUGCACAGAGCAGAGCAGCACCGUGCUAGCACGUCAGGCAGGGGCUGAGUAAUCACACACACCCACAAGCCAGCCACCCUUUCCAGCAGCCCACACAGGCAGAGACAGCUGCUUUUCCACUGCGGUGUCCUGCACCACAAGCAGGGGGAAUAACAGACUCUUCUGCUUCUGGCAUCCUGCAUGAGAGGUGAGAGGCAGAGCCGUGUUUUCCCCUUAGCAUUAGUAUAAAGAUGUCAAUUACAGCAGUAGGCACCUCAUUUUGCAAAGGACAAAUUACUUACUGCUGCCUCCUGUCUUCUUCCAACUUGAGGAAUGUUAGAAAGGGCAGUUCUUGUUUUUCAGUCUUCCCCAGAACAAUGGUGGGUGCUGCAGCAGGACCUCACCUGGCUGGGUGACUGAUUAGACACUGCACUGCUCAUCCUGGUACAACUUCCUCACCUUUGGAGGAAGAAUCCAGAGUCCAGGCACAGCGUAGGGCCCAGCACUCUUAAAGGCUCUGCUCAAUCAUGAGGACAGAGAAUCAUGAGAAACUGAGAUUUUUCAAUGUAAUUAAGUCUCCAUUGGCCACAGAUUUCUAAGUAUUGGCAAGGAGCUUUCAUAUGAAUUUACACAGAAGACUGUCCAUAUGUCCAUAGGUAUUUGCUCUUCCAUUUCACUGGCAUAAUGAAAGUAGUGUAUCUGGGGGAGGGCAGCGUUUAAAAAACGACACAUUUAACGCAAGAACAAACAGAACUGUUGUCUCUUACGUGGCUGAAGAAAGAAGCCCCAGCACACAGGUUUUGAUCUUGAACACCAGAAUCCGGUGUGCCUGUCGCUGACCCACUGCUUUCUAUUUUCACAAAGAUGCAGACGUAUUUUUGUGAUCUGUGGGUAAGCCCAUGAAAGCCUUGUUUCAGCUGUUCCUGCUGCAUCUUCUCUAUUCAGAUCAAGAGCCCUCUAAUACCACGCAUUGCGGCAAACCAAAAACCAGGGUUAUUUUACCAUCAAAGAAUCCAUUGCAGUUCACAACAUGCUUUCAGAGACUUCUCCCUUCCCAGCACUCUCUGCCAUUGCUGCCUGCUGUCACACUCUCCAUUUAGUUGUUUAAAAAACAAUUAAGAAAGAUGCUGUGUAGGACAAAGACUUAUUAGGUUCUGGACACAGUAAAACACGUAUCUGAAGAUAUUUCCUGUUACAACAACUAGCAGAAAUGCUACAAAACAACUCUUGAAAGCCCACUGGGCUGCACAAAGGACAAUGGUUCUUAAUUACAUGUUUUAACAGUUCACUUUUCCCAGGCAAAGGUGAUACUUUCUGCUUCCCUCCUAAGUCACCCCUUCACUAGAAACACGAGGCAUGUGCUGGGAUGUGUGUCGGUACCAACAGCUCCCGAGAAAGAUGUUCACAUUCACAAAGAGGUCCUGUUCAUUAUCUAUUUUCCUAUCCAUUUGCUAACCCAUGUUAUCUGAAAGAAGCCUGGAAAUACCAUCUCUUCUCAAGCUGCCACAAACCCCAGUCAGCUUCUUUUCUUCAGCAACACCUGAUGCUGUUUGACACUCAGGGUUUCCACACGAUGAGACACUCUGCUUAAUAGCUGCCUACCCGCAGCACUUUGUGGUCAGAGCUCUGCGCUUUGUGUUCCAAAUGCAGUGGAACAUUCGUACCAUAGUGAGGCACGUUCAACUGUUCCAUCCCAUCUCAUGCUGCAUGUUGACAAAGGCAGAAGCCACCUUACACUCCAGUUCUCUCUCCCAAUACCACACAGCGAGGGGAGUUUAUAUAUUUAAAACAAACUGCAUUUCCUCUCUGAUGCUUAAUGCAUAUAAGCAAAACGUCUUAUUUCAGCAAACAUGGCUGGCAAUACUUUUAUAUGAUGCAUAUGUUUGUGAUUAUCCCUUUUUUGCUAAAAACUCACGUUGCUUAAAAAUCUGGUGUCCCUAGACUUGCACGAAGGGAUGAUGAAAGUGCUCCAAGUGCUUCUGUGUGCGACAGCUUUUUGCAACAGGAAACAACAGCUCUCUGCACCAACAGGCUCCUCACGGUGACCGCCUGCCCUAUUAGCUGAGUGCUGUGGUUUGUCAGUGCAACCACCCCAGCACACUGACACGGUGGCAGAGAUCCAGGAGCUCAAACAGCUCCACAGAUCUCCCAGCAGCAUCCUGCUCAGGGCUCCCUCCCUGCCACCACCUCCACAGAUGUACUACAUUACAUCCACGUCCUAAAAGACAAGACCCUUGGUUUACAUUAUUAAGCAGCCAGGUUUCUCACUAUUACGGGCUGUUGCCAAAGUCGACAGCUUGUUUACACUGAGAAAUGCUUUAAUGCAAAAGCAACUUCCUCAUGGCUGUUCCAACCUGGUUUUGUUUUAAGCAAUAUAAUAAAUCAGAUCGGCACAGCGUAACUCAAAGACUCCAGAAAUUAGCAACGAAAGCCAGGAGGCCGAUUCCACUUAAUAACCAGUUGGUUGGCAUUUUACACCACAAAACAUAGCACAGGAUGGACCAGGCCCCUCUGUGAAGCAUCCACACCACCCAGCAAUUCGUCAAGCUUUAUAAACCACCUUCAUGAGAAAGUACUGUCUCUCUAGAGCGUAACCAAUUUAGAAGUGCCUUUAUUUCAUCAAAGAAAUCAGGUUAGUCAGUGUGAUAUUAAUAAAAGUGAAAUAGGAAGCUAAAAAUUACUCAAGAGGCCACAUGAAAGGAUAACGUUAAGCAAAUGAGAAUGUGAUUUUAGGAGCUUUUUUGAAAAAGAAGAUUAAAAAAAAAAAAAAGUGGUUAUAAAUAAUUAAAAGCAUCAAGCACAACAAGAGGAAGCUGUGGUUCAGUUCCAUCCAUGCCAGAAGCAAACACACAGCAACCCAGCAGGCUCCUCCCAAAGGAGCUUUCCCAGCAGUUGAAGCAUGAUGUGGUUGGUUGGAAAGUUGAGACCAAGACAUAGCUGAAAUGUUUGGUAAUAAUAAUAUGGACAGUUGCUCCUCAGCUGACAUGCACCAACAGUGAUCCUACUACAGACACGUUUUAUUGACAGGAGACAUUAGUGCUAACAUAAACUUCCAUUAAACAGCACAACAGGGCUCUUAGGCUGCCGGCUCUCACUGUAUGUCCAGGCUUCUGUUAGUCAGAUACUGAAAACACCAAAGUUCCUGUACAUCCAGAGCCCAGAAGCAGCAUUUCUUAGGAAAAAAAAAAAAAAAGGAGCCUUCAAGAAAGGCUCCCUACAUGUUCAUUACUUAAAACUUUAUUGCUGGUAUUACUUUCUUUAUACCCAACGCAACCACUCCUUAGGAUCCUAAGCCCCAUCCAGGUUUAAAAAUCAAUAGAUAGUAGGGAAUACAGGACUGUUUGAAAGAAAUGUGAGAGAGAGAGAUGCAUUUGACACCUGCAUAUCGCAUCAUCAGUCAUCUGGCCUCUUUCCACACCUCUCAAUCUGAGGUUUCAGCUCACGACAGUAAAGAUGGGCUUUUCUAAGAAUUCAGUCAUGUCCAUGUGGCUUCACUUCACUGAUGGGAAAAACAGCUCAGUUACAACCAAGACAGAAAAGCAAACUUCCUACAUGUGACGCAUCAAGAGGAAGGAAGGCAAACUGACACAGAAAACCCACACAACAAAAAAGCCACACACCCCCAGAGCAGCCCCUCCUGCACUUAGCAAUUCCUUUCCUUUUUUAAUCAAAGCAGUUCCCAUGAUGAAACUAAAGAAUUUCACGAGAGAAACCAGCACUGGGGAGAUCACAUUUGAGGAGUAUAGGACUGGAUUGCCAAUGGAUUUGGCUGCACACAGUGCAGGUAGGCUCACUACAGCUAAGUUGUUCUGGCCUCACACUGAAAUCAAAAGAUCACUCCUUCUUGGAGAUGCAUUUAAGCCAUAAGAUAAGAUUUGCAAAGGAAACGUGCCACUAAAUUAAAGACAAAGUGUUCAGAUUUAUUUGGAAAUUCACAGUUUCUAAUGGCACUACAGCUCUGUAGUUACAUACUCUUUUUCCACAACAACGUAUGCUGCACUCAAGUACGCAUUUUCCUCAUCCAGGUUUAAAACUCUUAAGUCCGUGUUCAACAAGUCUGGUUCACGUGCUCUGACUGGCUAAUUGUGCAGAUCAAAUCCAAAAGUACAUCACCUUAAAGUAUUCAUAAAAUAACAAGAAAGCAGCAAAAAAAAA